AACAGGAUUAGAUACCCUGGUAGUCCUAGCUGUAAACGAUGAUUACUGGGUGUGGGGAUGAGAAGUCUCUGUGCCGAAGCAAAAGCGAUAAGUAAUCCGCCUGGGGAGUACGUUCGCAAGAAUGAAACUCAAAGGAAUUGACGGGGGCCCGCACAAGUGGUGGAGCAUGUGGUUUAAUUCGACGCAACGCGAGGAACCUUACCAGACCUUGACAUCGCCGGGAGGUCAUAGAAGUAUGACUGUGCCUUCGGGAACCGGUAGACAGGUGGUGCAUGGCUGUCGACAGCUCGUGUUGUGAGAUGUUGGGUUAAGUCCCGCAACGAGCGAAACCCCUAUCAUUAGUUGCCAUCAUUAAGUUGGGGACUCUAAUGAAACUGCCUGCGAAGAGCAGGAGGAAGGUGGGGAUGACGUCAAGUCAUCAUGCCCCUUAUGGUCUGGGCUACACACGUGCUACAAUGGGUAGUACAACGAGAAGCGAUAUGGCGACAUAAAGCAAACCUUAAAAACUACUCUAAGUUCGGAUUGAAGUCUGCAACUCGACUUCAUGAAGUUGGAAUCACUAGUAAUCGCAAAUCAGCAAUGUUGCGGUGAAUACGUUCUCGGGCCUUGUACACACCGCCCGUCACACCACGAGAGUUGUUUGCACCUGAAAUUACUGGCCUAACCGUAAGGAGGGAGGUAAUGAAGGUGUGAAUAGUGAUUGGGGUGAAGUCGUAACAAGGUAUCCGUACCGGAAGGUGCGGAUG
rnacentral:rRNA from 1 species